CCGGGAGCCUCAGCCGGCUUCCGUGGCGCUCCUUCUCCCUCUGGUGGUCGGCAGCGGGGCGAAGUUGUUUCCGUGCUCUGAAGGGGUGAGGCUGUUAAGUUCCAGGCCCAGCCUCUGGUUUGAGAGAAUUUGGAAAGAGAGCUAACAGUGACUCCCUGUGACCCUCCAGGAACUUCUGCAGUGUUAGCCUCUGAAGCUUGACACUCCAGGGCCACGGCUUGCUUCAGACAGUGCCCCGUGGUUCUAGUAAAAGCUUCAGGAGUGUGUUGGCGUCGCUGUCCUGCGUGCAUCUUGCCAGAGGCCAUGAUUCUGUUCUCUGCAAAAAUGGGAUGAAGAGAUGCAGGGAGAGGAAAGCAUAAGACUUGCAGAAUUUGGGGCUAAAAGUGAUAGAUGGGCCAAAGGGAGGAACAUUGAUUGACAAUUUGGAAGGAGGAACACGAUG